AAUCUACUUUACAGCCAGAUUACUGAACUCCUUUGACUGAAUUGUUAGUUGGAUAGGAGAAAAAGGGUAACUAAAUGUUGGAUAAAGUACUUGUUUCAAGGUUGUGGAGAGGUGGAAGAACAAUACUAGUAAAUCUGAAUAAUUCUUGUUUUCCUCCGACGACUCCUCCGAGUCUCUGGCUUCACCGAAAGCAAGUAAUUAUUACAGCUGCUGCUAUGAAAUCAAACAAAGGUGUUGAUAAGCUCCGCCAGAUCGUACACUCGGAUUCUUCUGCUGCUGAUGCUUGGGAGAAAAGCUGGAGAGAAGGAGUUACUCCCUGGGAUUUAGGACAACCCACUCCUGUUCUUUUGCAUCUUCUCGAAACCGCUUCCCUUCCUAAAGGCAGGGUUUUGGUCCCUGGUUGUGGCAGUGGGCAUGAUGUAAUAGCAAUCGCAUCCGCUGAUCAUUAUGUUGUUGGCUUGGAUAUAUCAGACUGUGCAAUAAAGAAAGCUACCGAGUUGUCUUCAUCAUCUUCAAAUGCGGAUUACCACAAAUUCCUACAGAGGGACUUCUUCACCUGGCAGCCAACUGAGUUAUUUGAUGUUAUUUUUGACUAUACGUUCUUUUGUGCUAUUGAACCAGAUCUGAGAUAUGCUUGGGCAAGCCGAAUUCAAAAAUUUUUGAAACCAGAUGGGGUUCUCAUAACACUGAUGUUUCCGGUACAAAUAACCCCCAUAUCAGCGAUCACAUUGGUGGACCCCCAUAUAAAGUAUCUGUUGCAGAUUACGAAGAAGUGCUUCACCCUAUCGGUUUCAGAGCGAUAUCGAUUUUAGAAAAUGAGUUAGCUAUUGGUCCUCGCAAGGGAAAGGAAAAGCUAGGAAGGUGGAAGAGAUCCGUUCAGUCGUCACUAUAAUAGGCAUUCCAUUAGCUAACCUGCUCUCCUAUUGCCUUUUCAGCUUGAAUACUAUUACUGGCUACCGUCAAAAGAAAUCAUGUAAAAGAAGAUCCUGUUUGAAUUGAAAGGUGAUUUGAGAUUUAAAAAAAAUCAAGACAAAGGAUGAUCAUGCUUCUAUACAAACACAAUUCUGAUGCAAAGAACAAGUUGCUGAGACCGAAAGUAAUGACAAAUGACAAGGAUGAAGUGGAUGAAAAUGAUCAAAGUAAAGGCAACCCUACUCAUCCAAAGUUAAGUGAAUAAGACCUAUGUAUCAAAUAAAAAGCAGCUUGUCAUGGGUGACAAUAUUAGUAGCUCUACCAUCAUACAAGGUGAAGAUCAAUGACAUGCUAAAAAAAUCAAAUAGCCUUGUAUGCGUAGCCUAGAAAUACUCUUUUACUUUCAAGUUUAAUUUUUUGUGAACAACUAAGUAAUUUAGCUUUUAUAUAUUUGAUUGUAACAAGUUUAUUUUACAAAAUUGCAUAUUAUUUUCAA